rnacentral:rRNA from 1 species
UACGUAGGUGGCAAGCGUUAUCCGGAAUUAUUGGGCGUAAAGCGCACGUAGGCGGUUUGUUAUGUCGGAUGUGAAAGCCCUUGGCUCAACUGAGGAAGUGCAUCCGAAACUGGCAAGCUAGAGUAUGUAAGAGGGUCGCGGAAUUCCCGGUGUAGAGGUGAAAUUCGUAGAUAUCGGGAGGAACACCAGUGGCGAAGGCGGCGACCUGGACGGACACUGACGCUGAGACGCGAAAGCGUGGGGAGCAAACAGG